rnacentral:misc_RNA from 1 species
AGCAGAAAGAGCCUCAUAAUACUUGAAUUCUCCUGGCCCACUCAUUAACAUACCACCUGUAUCGUCAGUUGCCACAUCUGCGAUAUCGCGACCACAGCCCUUUGGCACAUACACAGAUUUGAUAAAAGCCCAUUUUGCUUUUGCAAUGACAAUUGAACCAUCAUUUUUGGGAAAGGAAUAUGACCUAGUACUGCCUUGCAAUUGAGAGUCAACUGGCUACCCACAGCAUGCUUAUACAAGCAUUUAAAAGGCGUAGGUUAUUGAGGUGCAUUUAUGGUCCCAAGUUCAGGUGAUAUUAACUGCCAUGUAAAUAGCUUUUCCCCAGCUUUCCCUAAGUAGGCAAACCCUACUUAUU